rnacentral:rRNA from 1 species
AGUAACGCGUGGGUAACCUGCCUCAUACAGGGGGAUAACAGUUAGAAAUGGCUGCUAAUACCGCAUAAGCACACAGCUUCGCAUGGAGCAGUGUGAAAAACUCCGGUGGUAUGAGAUGGACCCGCGUCUGAUUAGCUAGUUGGUAAGGUAACGGCUUACCAAGGCGACGAUCAGUAGCCGACCUGAGAGGGUGACCGGCCACAUUGGGACUGAGACACGGCCCAA